rnacentral:misc_RNA from 1 species
GAACGCACAUUGCGCCCCUUGGUAUUCCGAGGGGCAUGCCUGUUCGAGCGUCAUUUCAACCCUCAAGCACAGCUUGGUCUUGGGCUUCGCCGCUAACCCGGCGGGUCUUAAAAUCAGUGGCGGUGCCGUCGGGCCCUGAGCGCAGUAAUCUCUCUCGCUAUAGGGUCCCGGUGGAUGCUACCCAGUAACCCCCAAUUUUCUAUGGUUGACCUCGGAUCAGGUAGGGAUACCCGCUGAACUUAAG